AACGAACGCUGGCGGCAUGCCUAACACAUGCAAGUCGAACGAGACCUUCGGGUCUAGUGGCGUACGGGUGCGUAACGCGUGGGAACCUGCCCUUAGGUUCGGAAUAACUUCCCGAAAGGGGUGCUAAUACGAGAUAAUGUCUUCUGACCAAAGAUUUAUCGCCUUUGGUUGGGCCCGCGUUGGAUUAGCUAGUUGGUAGGGUAAAAGCCUACCAAGGCGACGUUCCAUAGCUGGUAUGAGAGGAUGAUCAGCCAUACUGGGACUGAGACACGGCCCAGACUCCUACGGGAGGCAGCAGUGGGGACUAUUGGACACUGGACGAGAGCCUGAUCCAGCAAUGCCGCGUGAGUGAUGAAGGCCUUAGGGUUGUAAAGCUCUUUUACCCGGGAUGAUAAUGACAGUACCGGGAGAAUAAGCUCCGGCUAACUACGUG
rnacentral:rRNA from 1 species